rnacentral:lncRNA from 1 species
UUGGAUUUCCUUUGGCAGGGUUCCCUUGUAUGGAAGUUCUCAGGAGAACAACACUCUCAGAGUCCCACUGUCUCAAAGAAUUCUUAAUGGACAGCUAUACUUGGCCCCAAGGUUUCAACCUCACACUGAAGAAAGUGACAUAAGAAAACACAAGUCCCAGUGCUAUCAGGGGCUAUCUGGAAAAGCUGCUUAAACAGCAAGUGAAAGAAGGCUCUCCCCUACCCCGUUCUAGGUGAGGAACAGGUGGCUGGUGAGUUUUUAACUUGAUAGGAGAAUCUAAUAACCUCACCACCCAACAAUACUGAUAGCUUUCCUAUAUGUGCUGAAACUGUUGACAAUACCUAAAGGGAACAGCCUUAGAGAGUGCAGAGCAGGGAAAGUUUAUAUGUGUUUGCUAGUUAUAAAACAGAUGGCACUGUUUUCAUAGUCCAGUGAUACUGGGAGAUCAUAAAAUAAAAUGUCAAUGGCAAGACAGUGACAAUGGGGGCAGUGAGCCUGGCAAAUGGAGAUGAGCCUAAAGCUAAUUUGCUAGAAAAAAAUGACUUGAUUAGGUCAGGGAGGUGGAAGAACAACCAGUUUUGAGCAGAGAUUGUGCCACUGCACUCCAAAGUGGGCAACAGAGCGAGACUCUGUCUCCAAAAAAAAAGAAAAAAAUUAAAAAAAGAUACACAGGAUAUAUUAAGUGAAAAAUGGAUUAUU